CAACCACAGACCCUAAAUGCAUUUUCUCCACAUGUCCAGCUACAGAGGGUCUGCUCCCUGUACCUUUUGUCCACUCAGAGGGUAUAGAAUUAGUCGCAGUCACUUCUCUCUCUCUCCCCCUCCAUCCAGGAAGGAAAGAAAGAAAUUUCUCUUCUCCGACCCCAUCCAACUCACUCCCCUUCUGCAUCCUCGGCUGACUUACCAGGAUUGUAUUAUCAAGAGUAUGGCCUUGGCAUACUCCUUCUCCACGGACCCGCAGAGGAUUCUGAGGUCAGUGCUCAGCCACAAGGAACGGCUUGAGGAGACCACUCAGCUGUGACGGCCGGGGUUCCAGAACAUUUCUCAUCAUCUUCCACAGAAUUCCAUGAAAUGUGGUGGCUGACUACUGUGGGCAAGCUGGUGUGAGGAGGGUCACUGGGCAGCCACUGGGGAACAUAAGGUGGAAGCCAUAGCAAGGUAAUCGUGGAGACCCUAUUCCCGUUCCGGACCUGGACUCUUACCUUGCCUCUCUGUUAUGCUGGGUCUCUGUUUUAAGAAACAAAUCUAUAAUCUAAUUGAUACAAGACUUCAUACCAGGAGAAGAACGUUUCCUCAGCAGAACCCCAGAUAUAUGACACUGACUUUGUAUAAUGAUUCUCAAUCAGCAGCAAUUCUCCAAUUCUGCCCCUCUAUGUGGGAUGUUUGGCAAAGUCUAGAAACAUUUUAGGUUGCCUUGAAUUGGAGGGAGAUGCCACUGGCAUUCAGUGGGCCAAGGAUGCUGCUAAAUAUCCCACAAUACACAGAACAGGCCCCAGUGCAAAGGAUUAAUUGGUCCAAAAAUGUCAACAGUGCCAUGACUGAGAAACCCCGGGUCAUCAGGAAGUGGUGAGGACACAUGUGUAUAUCCUGGAGAGCUGGUCACUCAUGCUCUGCAACAAUAAAACACUUGAUAAAGCCUGUGGCUCUAGAGGAAAUGGUUUUUAAAAAUUUAGAAUGCUGGAGUGUGUGGACCACUUCUUGCUGCUGUCAGCAAAGUCAUAGGAAAAGAAAAGAUGGACUAAGAAUGGAGCCAGCCAGUGUCCUGACGGAGAAAACAUCGUGCUGAAUGACAGAAGCCAGACGCAAAAGCUCACAUGUUGUGUGAUUCCUUUUAUGUGAAGUGUCCAGAAUGGGCAAAUUCAUAGAGGCAGAAAGUAGAUUAGUGGUUCCCAGGGGCUGGGGUGAGCGGGAAUCUGUAGUGACUGCUUAAGGUGGGGGGUGGGGUUUUAUUUUGCAGUGACGGAAAUGUUUUGGAACUAGAUAGUGGUGAUGGUUGCAGAACACUGUGAAUGUAAGAACUGAAGCUCUUCUGAAGGAGAGCUUGAUGAGUGAGGAAAGGAGAGGAGAGAGAGAAAGAGAGAAACAGGAGCCAUCCUGAAAGUUUAGGCAUAUUAAGUAUAUUUGGAUGAACUUGUUGAUUAAGUUAUUCCUUGCAUUUGGAACCGACCAGAAAUCAAUA